AGAGCUCCAGGGCUCCGGCGGCUCCCAGAGGGUCCGACCCCAACGGCUCCACCACGAAGGGGGAGAAGGGGGAGAGGGGACUCCCUGGGAAGGAUGGAAUUCCCGGGCUGCCGGGCAGGCCGGGCCGGGCGGGUCCUCCUGGUCCCCCCGGAGUCACGGGUAUUCCUGGCGUCCAAG